UACGUAGGGCGCAAGCGUUGUUCGGAAUCAUUGGGCGUAAAGCGCGUGUAGGCGGCCUACUAAGUCUGAUGUGAAAGCCCGGGGCUCAACCCCGGAAGUGCAUUGGAUACUGGUUGGCUAGAGGGCGAGAGAGGGAAGUGGAAUUCCUGGUGUAGGGGUGAAAUCCGUAGAUAUCAGGAGGAACAUCGGUGGCGAAGGCGGCUUCCUGGCUCGUUUCUGACGCUCAGACGCGAAAGCGUGGGUAGCAUACAGG
rnacentral:rRNA from 1 species